GACGAACGCUGGCGGCGUGCUUAACACAUGCAAGUCGAACGGUGAAGCGCCUUCCUUUUUGGUGGGUGUGGAUGAGUGGCGAACGGGUGAGUAACACGUGAGUAACCUGCCCCCUUCUUCUGGAUAACCGCAUGAAAGUGUGGCUAAUACGGGAUAUUCUGGGUCUGUCGCAUGAUGGGUCUGGGAAAGAUAUUGUUUCGGUGGGGGAUGGGCUCGCGGCCUAUCAGCUUGUUGGUGGGGUGAUGGCCUACCAAGGCGGUGACGGGUAGCCGGCCUGAGAGGGUGGACGGUCACACUGGGACUGAGACACGGCCCAGACUCCUACGGGAGGAAGCAGUGGGGAAUAGUGCACAAUGGGCGCAAGCCUGAUGCAGCGACGCCGCGUGAGGGAUGGAGGCCUUCGGGUUGUGAACCUCUUUCGCCAGUGAAGCAGGCCUGCCUCGUUUGUGGGUGGGUUGACGGUAGCUGGAUAAGAAGCGCCGGCUAACUACGUG
rnacentral:rRNA from 1 species